GCCACACCCAGGAACAAAUCAGAAACUUCACCAGGCCAAAAGGAAGCCCAGCCCUAACCCAGAGGCAGAACUUCAGCAGGACUUUUUCUAGCAGCAGAGGAGAGCCAGUCCCUGAAGGGGAUAAGGAGAGGAUGUCAAUGUGGGAAGUCUUGAUGGAUGUCCAAGUUUCCCAGGUUCUAAAUUUAUUGUAAUUUAAUCAUGUUCAUCUCUGAGGACAGUACUAGGCGAUUGCUCUGCAGGGAAUUGAAGGCCCUUCGAUCAUCACUACCUGUCAAGCCUAGGAGCCUUGAAGGGAGGCAUUACCCCGUGAGAUUUGCUUGGCCCCACCUGCCCCUGGACCUCAUUUGCUUGCUCACUGUCAUCUCAGAUGCUACCACUGCCAUCACUUUAUCCUCUAACACUGCCAGCCAUCUCGGCCACCCCACAGAGCAGGAGCUGGGCUGUGGCAUGGCCUCCAGCAUGCCCACUGAGGUGUGAGGUUCAGCAGCUCCACUGCCUACAUCUAACCCAGCUGGAGGCUCUGGCUUUCCCUGCAGCUGCCUCAACGGUGAGUCUCUAAAUGAUAAGAAGCAAGAGGCUGGAAGGAGUCAGCAGAUAAGUUCUUCUUCACCUCUGCUUUUUCAAAGGACUGUUCCAAGAUCUUCCAACAGUGUUCCUUACCUUUCCUCCAAAGAUUUCCCAUGGGACCAAACAGCUCACUGUUGGUCUUCUUGUAAGGCUGUGGCAAACUCAGUAACACACGAGAGUUUGUAUUUCCUUUCCCUCCUUUCCUGCUUCCUCUUUUGUAGCCCUCAUUCUGGCCACCUUAGGACUGCACUUUUCAGUCAAAUGUUAGCAUGUUUGACUCAGGCUCUCUGUUCUAAAGAACACAGCCUAAAACAGCCUUCAUUAUGGCUUCUCUCUCUCCAGGUGGAGGCAUUAAUUUAGGCAAACUGCCCAUCUCUAGCCACUUGCUACUGUAUUUUCUUCCUCUAACUUCUGUGUCUCCCCAAUGGGAGAUUUGAAAGUGGGCUUGUAUAUCUUGCCAGCUGUUGCACAACUGAUUAUAGUCACUUUAUUUUUAUUUCAUUAAUUUUUGGGUUAUACCUGGAGUUUGGAGUUUCAGGAUGCCCUUGCUUGAUUUAUCAAAAAUCAAAUAUAAAUCUGUGUACACGUCUUUCCUGGGAUCUAGAGAGCAAUAAAAUCCCACUCACACAGACCCUGAUCAGACACCGCAAUCGUGCAGCAAAACACCGCCAAACCAAUCACUUCCACUGGCGGAGUUCACCAAGGGGUAGCAUUUCCCAAUGUCAGAGCCAUGGAAUGCCAGUUGUUUGGGAUUAGUAGACGUUUGUCUCAAAACUUAAAUGACGCUGUAUUCAAAUACACUUAAGUGGCUCAAGGUUAAACAAAAUUAAAUCGUUUCCUUCACCCUAUAGGAUUACAGAGACAUGGCUAUCAUAUUGUAUAAUGUUCUCGCCUGCAGCAUUUUCAGAAUUUAUUGGGACACAUCUUUUUUUCCUAAACAUCUCAUAGGAUUGAUGCUAAACAAAUACUGAGUUUCCAUGGCAGAAAUUCCAGAAGUAUCAGCCCCUGGGAAGAAAUCUUCCUACUCUUCAGACUUCAAGUUCCAAAGUCUUUGGGUCCCUUUUGAAUACAAUUCUUCUGAUCCUUUGAGAAAAUACUAGAAGUCUACAUCUGCAGACCUGUCGAAUAAAUAAAAGCUGGGCUUAACCAUCAAGAACCAACUCUAGGCAAUGCCCAUUUCCUUCUUCCUGUUCUUUUCCACGUACAGGAUCAUUUUUUUCAUAGUUCUCCCACUUGCUUUCCACAUAAUGUUACAGCUACUCCGCCCUCCCCUACUAAUACCCACUAUUAAUCUAAGGAUGCAUUCCCAGCGUAAGGAAGAACCACAUAUCUCCUUCCUGGCCUGUGUAUUCCUACACAUGCCCCUGUCCCUACCCAACUCAACUGAGAUCAGCAGUUACUGUAUGGUGUUCUUUUCUCCUUACCCACCAGUGCUCCCCUAACUCAC
ensembl:lncRNA